rnacentral:rRNA from 1 species
CGAUCUGCGCGAGCCUGAUCAGCCAUGCCGCGUGUGUGAAGAAGGCCUUUUGGUUGUAAAGCACUUUAAGCGAGGAGGAGGAGCUUCAGGUUAAUACCCUGGAUGCUUGGACGUUACUCGCAGAAUAAGCACCGGCUAACUCUGUGCCAGCAGCCGCGGUAAUACAGAGGGUGCAAGCGUUAAUCGGAUUUACUGGGCGUAAAGCGUGCGUAGGCGGCUAAUUAAGUCAAAUGUGAAAUCCCCGAGCUUAACUUGGGAAUUGCAUUCGAUACUGGUUAGCUAGAGUAUGGGAGAGGAUGGUAGAAUUCCAGGUGUAGCGGUGAAAUGCGUAGAGAUCUGGAGGAAUACCGAUGGCGAAGGCAGCCAUCUGGCCUAAUACUGACGCUGAGGUACGAAAGCAUGGGGAGCAAACAGGAUUAGAUACCCUGGUAGUCCAUGCCGUAAACGAUGUCUACUAGCCGUUGGGGUCUUUGAGACCUUAGUGGCGCAGCUAACGCGAUAAGUAGACCGCCUGGGGAGUACGGUCGCAAGACUAAAACUCAAUAAAAUUUGCCGG